rnacentral:lncRNA from 1 species
GGAUCAACACAUGUACAAACAGUAAGUGUAUGGUAAGCUAUACAAAUAGAAGCUGAAUUAAAAUUGAGUUAAAAUAUGAAGGAUAAUUUAAAAAUAAGCUUUUGAAAUCAAGGUAGGGACUCAUGCAUCAUGCUUGCAAAUGUAGGAGGAUCCGAACUGGAAAUAAUUCAAGCUCCCAAAACGUUGUGUUGAAGCACAGACCCAUUCGUAAACACGAGCAAAUUACAGGGAUAGAUUUAGAAAUAAAACAAUGCAUAUAUGGCACAAUCGAAUGCUUGUGCAAACGGACAGGAUUAAUAGCACAAAUUUCCCUCCAAAGCCUAAACACAUGGAUUUCAUCCAAACGCAGGCCGGGUCAUCGCAUCGUGACUAUUGUACGGCGUCGCUUUUGAACCAUUGAAGUUGGUCUAAACGGCGCCGUUCCUUAUCCUUUAAGAAUGGCUAAAUUAGUCGACUUUUCCUUUGCCUUUAGCAAACCCCAAAUCGUCCCUUAACUGCUGAUUUUUUUUUGCAGCCUUUGCAGUCUUUGAAGAACCAUUUCAGCCUUGAUCUUCCUUCAACUUCAAUUCCAACGAAGCAAAGAGAAGAUCCUUGGCGUACUCGCACGGUAUUGCUCCCUUCCUUUGUUUUUCUUUAUUUUUUUUAAAAAAGACGCAAUAAUGAUGUAUUCUAAAAAACAAAUUGAAAAAGAAAUAAAGGGAAAAAAAACUUAGAGAAACUCGAAUCGAAAAUCACCUUGAACUUUGACUGAUUUUCUUUGUUUGAUUAAUAUGCGUAGUGUGCAUAAAAAAUUUGCAGGUACAUCAAUGGCUUUUAUAGCCAAAUUUACAAAAUAAAUAAAAAUAAAAAAAAAUCCUAUUUUCCUACUGUCAUCUGCUAUGAAUUCUGUUAUUGGCUCCUUCUGGUGUGUUCUUUUGCAGGCUCGGUUGUACAGAGGAGCGGGGAGACGUGCGAAGGAGGCCGUGCGAGGAGCCACUCGUGGGAGCCCUAACUCUCUGGCCUAUUCUGGCACGUUCCAGAAGCUUCUAGUGCUGCUGAGAUAAUUUUGGGUGUAUUGGGCCUCGGGUUUUAGGGUUUAUUUAAUUGGGUCAUAAUUGGGUUAAGGGUGUUUGUUCAAUUGGGUUAGAAAGUUUAUUAUUUGGCCUGAUGGUGUGUAAAACUUGGACAUUAUUAUGGAUAUUUGGACUUUAAUUUUUAGUUUAUUUUGUGUUUGUUGUGUUUUUUCUUUUUUGAUUUUUGGUAUAAGCCCGGACAAAAAUUAGGCCUUACACUGAUAUUGGGUGCACCGGCUCCCCAUAAAGGAAGAAUGUAAGCCAGUUCAGCAAAAACUCCGAAGAAUGAGGCCGGACGUCUUGCUAAAAAUAAAAGAAGAGGUUCGCAAACAGUUUGUCGCUGGAUUUUUAAAGGUGGUAAAAUACUCAGAUUGGGUAGCCAACAUCGUCCCCGUCCCUAAGAAAGACGAAAAAGUGCG